rnacentral:rRNA from 1 species
CAGCAGCCACGGUAAUACGGAGGGUGCAGGCGUUAAUCGGAAUUACUGGCCGUAAAGCGCACGCAGGCGGUUUGUUAAGUCAGAUGUGAAAUCCCCGAGCUUAACUUGGGAACUGCAUUUGAAACUGGCAAGCUAGAGUCUUGUAGAGGAUGGUGGAAUUCCCGGUGUAGCGGUGAAAUGCGUAGAGAUCGGGAGGAACAUCAGUGGCGAAGGCGGCCAUCUGGGACAACGCUGACGCUGAGGCACGAAAGCGUGGGGAGCAAACAGGAUUAGAUACCCGAGUAGUCCCUGUCUCUUAUAC